rnacentral:rRNA from 1 species
GUGGGGAAUAUUGCACAAUGGGCGAAAGCCUGAUGCAGCAACGCCGCGUGAGUGAUGAAGGUCUUCGGAUUGUAAAGCUCUGUCUUUUGGGACGAUAAUGACGGUACCAAAGGAGGAAGCCACGGCUAACUACGUGCCAGCAGCCGCGGUAAUACGUAGGUGGCGAGCGUUGUCCGGAUUUACUGGGCGUAAAGGGUGCGUAGGCG